CUCUUUCCUAAUGAUUUAACACAGAGGUCUCAAACUCAAAUCACCACGAGGGCCACAUGACGACUAGUACAUUGACCCAAGGGCCGCAUUACUGACACCUUUUCAUACAAAGAUA